AUUGUCUUUUCAGGUUGCAAAAGUUGAAGACGCACGGGAUGCAGGGAUCACUGUGUACGUCGUGGCCAAUGGAUUCACAGCCCUUGUGAACAACGCUGCGCUUGAGGCCAUCGCUGGUGACCCUGCCAAUGUCUUCAGCGCAUCAGGCGACCCCUGCGAUCUCGCCAACCAUAUUUUGGAGUUGUGUGGCUAGAAUAAGACACGCAACGUCUUCAGAAAUGACAAGACAAUCGUCUUGGAACGUAGGAGGAAGCAACUCACGGAAUAGCAUGAAUGCUUGAAAUACCCGGACACUUCAUCUUAUUCGUCUGGAGAGUACCUUUAGCCUUUAAAAUGAGGAAAUCAAGAACAAAGAAAAACUACAAUAUUACAAUAUGAAAUUAGAAAAGAAAUAUGACUUGAACUUCAAGACUGUGCCAUAUCAUCGUUUUUGUAGAAACGUAACUAUUCCUAUUAAAUCCUAUAUGG